CCCCCCCUCUCUUUCAUGUCACGCCCUCCCUCGUCGUCCUCCCCCCGGACGACCACGAGUGGCAACCCUUCCACCAUCUUGAAUCGUACCCUCCAUUUCUCUUCUCUUUUUUCUGUCUCUUGGUUCAAAACCCUUAAACGUUCCAAAACUUCUGAUAAGCUUUACAAAAAAUACAUUAGAUCAUACAAACUCAAAUAACAAUUCUUAUUCUCAUUAAUAAAAAAUGUCUCAAGUAUUGGCACCGUUCCAAUUAUUGGAACUAAAUGUUAUAUCAGCACAGGAUUUGGCUUCCGUAGGAAGAAACAUGAGAACCUACGCGGUGGCUUGGGUUCAUCCUGAUAGAAAACUUUCCACACGUGUCGACACACAAGGCCACACCAAUCCAACGUGGAAUGACAAAUUCGUUUUCCGCGUCGACGAUGAGUUUCUAUACAAUGACACUUCCGCUUUCAUGAUUGAGAUCUACGCUUUACAUUGGUUUAAAGAUAUCCACGUCGGCACCGUCCGUGUCCUCGUCGGAAACCUCAUUACUCCGCCCUCUAGACCUUUCCACAAAGACAAUGCUCCUAUUGGUAUGCGAUUUGUCGCUCUUCAAGUUCGUCGUCCUUCUGGUAGACCUCAGGGGAUUCUCAACAUCGGAGUAACGGUUCUUGAUAGUUCCAUGCGGAGUAUGCCACUUUAUACGCAUAAUGCCUCCGCCGUUGGUUACCGUCAUUUAAUGGGCGAGAAAGAUGCGUAUGAUAGCCAUAAUCAUCUCAGUCCUCAUGUUUUCGCCGCCGGUGGUGGUAAACCUGAGCUCCGACGAACGAAAAGUGAUUCGAGUUCUGUUAUUGCUUCGGAGGCUGUUAUGAGACACCAACGCGCUAUGAUUAAUAUGGAAAGAGCUUGUUCUGCGAUUUCUGGUUCUGAAGUUAGCGAUAACAGGGUGAAUAAAAAUAGGAAGAAAAAGAAGAAGAAAACGUCGUCGUCGUCCUCUCAGACUAGUUCUAUAAUCAGCGGUGAUUCUGGUAGAUUUACGAGUUCUGUUCUCAGCGAUGCGGUGGUUCCGUGGAAGGUUAAAAAUGGAAAAGCAAGUUCUUCUCCUUCUGAUAUAAACGUGCAGCCGCCACCACCACCGUUUAACUACGAGGAACAACACGGCAAUAAUAAUAAUGAAAACGAGAUUCAUCAUGAUCGUGAUAGUGAUCAUGAACAUGAACAUGAUAAUAAGAAUGAUAUUGAUGAUAAUCAGAAGGAAGUUUCGUCUGAUAAUACUGUUUCUGACGAUACUACAACGGAUACUGAUGUGAGUGAGAAACAGAACAUUGCUUAUCAAGUUAAUGCUACGCCAAAACGUCAUUUUCCACCCUCUCCGGCACCUCGGCCGGCAGAGUAUAAGAACUCUCCAAAGCCAAAGUUUAUGAAAUCUCCGACAAUGCCGGAAUAUAGGAACUCUCCCAAGCCACAUUAUAAGAAUUCUCCCUUGCCGGAGUAUAAGAGCUCUCCUAAGCCGCAAUUUAAGAAUUCUCCAAUGCCGGAGUAUAAGAACUCUCCUAAGCCGCAAUUUAAGAAUUCUCCAAUGCCGGAGUAUAAGAAUUCUCCGAUGCCAGAGUAUAAGAAUACUCCAAAGCCGCAGUAUAUGAGAUCUCCGACUAUGCCGGAAUAUAAGAACACUCCUAAGCCGCAAUAUAGAAACUCGCCAAUGCCAGAGUUUAAGAACUCUCCUGUGCCGCAGUUUAGAAAUUCGCCUAUGCCGGAGUUUAAGAACUCGCCUAUGGCACCAGUUAGGAAUUCUCCAAUGCCGCAGUUCAAGAAUUCUCCGAUGCCGCAAUUUCGAAACUCACCAGCGGUUUCGAAGUUCAACCCUGCAAUGGGAUUCAGUGGUUCUCAAAGGGGCACACCGAUGCAUCCAUUUGGGAAGAUUAACGGUGCUUUUGAAUAUGCGACGCCGAUGAGGUCCAACUUGGCGAACAUGAGGCCGGUUAUGAUGACAGAGUCAGAGCUGGGACCAUCUCCGUCAGAGGUUGCGGCGGCAAUGGCAAGGAAGCCAAUGGUCGACGAGGGGGAUAAUUCAACAAUGACAAGGUGGAGCUUAGAUGAAAGCGUGGAAGGGUUGGGGUCGAAAUUGGAUAGGUGGCGGACGGAGUUGCCACCGGUGAUUGACCGCGGUGAGCUGUCGAGCCUCCCAACGAAUAGCACCAAGACCAGCCGCCACUCGCGGAGGCACACAGACGGAGGAGGAGGGAAUGGGUUGUUUUCUUGCUUUAGUAAUAUCUGCGGUGUUGAGUGCUCCAUAGUGUGUGGUAGUGACUCUAAGGCCAAAGUUAAGAAGAAUAGUCGCACCCGCACUUCUUCUACUGCCGACGACAAUACCAGCAUUCUGUGACAACAACACCGGCUGAGGUAGCUUUGCAUGCAUAGUGGACCAUGAGAAAGGACUAAGAUAAACAAUAUACCAUAAUGCUUGGGAUUGAUACAGAGAUUUGGCUUGAUACAGGAAGUUCGUCCCAGAGGAACCACCAUAAGACUGCUUCUACGUGACAUUAUUUUGUGGACUUCAACAGAAACCCUAGCAUAUAUAUCUUCACAUGAAUGUAUACAGAUGUUGUAACUUAACAAUUAUUUGGAUUGCUACCAAGUUGUAACACUAAUAUGCUCUAUGCUUACGAAAUCUAAUUGUGUAAAAAACAAUUGACUUAAAGUACACAUUAUUUUAACAUAUAAA